AGUGAACGCUGGCGGUAGGCCUAACACAUACAAGUCGAACGGCAGCACAGUAAGAGCUUGCUCUUACGGGUGGCGAGUGGCGGACGGGUGAGGAAUACAUCGGAAUGUACUUUUUCGUGGGGGAUAACGUAGGGAAACUUACGCUAAUACCGCAUACGACCUACGGGUGAAAGCAGGGGAUCUUCGGACCUUGCGCGAUUGAAUGAGCCGAUGUCGGAUUAGCUAGUUGGCGGGGUAAAGGCCCACCAAGGUGACGAUCCGUAGCUGGUCUGAGAGGAUGAUCAGCCACACUGGAACUGAGACACGGUCCAGACUCCUACGGGAGGCAGCAGUGGGGAAUAUUGGACAAUGGGCGCAAGCCUGAUCCAGCCAUACCGCGUGGGUGAAGAAGGCCUUCGGGUUGUAAAGCCCUUUUGUUGGGAAAGAAAAGCAGCAGGUUAAUACCCCGCUGUUCUGACGGUACCCAAAGAAUAAGCACCGGCUAACUUCGUG
rnacentral:rRNA from 1 species